CAUGGCUCAGGACGAACGCUGGCGGCGUGCUUAACACAUGCAAGUCGAGGGAACCUCGCAAGGGGUGACCGGCGAACGGGUGCGUAACACGUGAGCGACCUUCCGUCUUCUGGGGGAUAGCCGGCCCAACGGCCGGGUAAUACCGCAUACGCUGUUUGAGCCGCAUGGCUUGGACAGGAGACUUCCGGGGGAGGACGAGGGGCUCGCGGCCUAUCAGCUAGUUGGUGCGGUAACGGCGCACCAAGGCGACGACGGGUAGCUGGUCUGAGAGGAUGGCCAGCCACAUUGGGACUGAGAGACGGCCCAGACUCCUACGGGAGGCAGCAGUGGGGAAUCUUGCGCAAUGGCCGAAAGGCUGACGCAGCGACGCCGCGUGUGGGAGGAAGCUCUUCGGGGUGUAAACCACUGUUGCCCGGGACGAACACUUGUUUUACCAAGCUACGGUACCGGGUAGGAAGCACCGGCUAACUGU
rnacentral:rRNA from 1 species